GUGAAAUACCACUUGCAUCAGGCACCUAUGUAAAAAUUAUACAUAGUGUUUUAUGCUCUUUUUUAAACUGGAUAUAUUAUGAAAUGAGACUGGCCCUAGUGACCAUUUUUCCUACAGAUUAUUAUUUAUCUCUUCCAAGAUGUAUAUUGUAUUGUGCCAUGCCCUUGGGCUUCAAGUGUUUGGGUGAGUACCAUUGCAUACUUAUAUGUUAUCAUGAUCACAUAUGCUCUAAUUUCAGUAAAUCUCUGUGAUGGGGAGUAUCAUGUAUAUUCAAUAUCAAAAUAGUUUCCACAAAUAGA
rnacentral:lncRNA from 1 species